UACGUAGGGGGCAAGCGUUGUCCGGAUUUAUUGGGCGUAAAGCGCUCGCAGGCGGCCUGAUGCGUCGUGCGUGAAACACCCCGGCUCAACUGGGGGGGGUCGUGCGAUACGGUCAGGCUCGAGGCCAGUAGGGGGACGCGGAAUUCCGGGUGUAGUGGUGGAAUGCGUAGAGAUCCGGAGGAACACCAGCGGCGAAGGCGGCGUCCUGGACUGGUACUGACGCUCAGGAGCGAAAGCGUGGGGAGCGAGCCGG
rnacentral:rRNA from 1 species